rnacentral:rRNA from 1 species
UACAGAGGGGGCAAGCGUUGUUCGGAAUUACUGGGCGUAAAGGGCGCGUAGGCGGCCUUCUAAGUCGAACGUGAAAUCCCUGGGCUCAACCCAGGAACUGCGUCCGAUACUGAAAGGCUUGAAUCCGGGAGAGGGAUGCGGAAUUCCAGGUGUAGCGGUGAAAUGCGUAGAUAUCUGGAGGAACACCGGUGGCGAAGGCGGCAUCCUGGACCGGUAUUGACGCUGAGGCGCGAAAGCCAGGGGAGCGAACAGG